UUUUCCCCUGUGCAGACUGAACAGGUUUAUCUUGGACAAUGCUCACCCUCAUGCAUUAAGUCCUGUUUUCCCCUGUGCAGACAGAACAGGUUUAUCUGGGACAAUGCUCACACUCAUGCAUUAAGUCCUGUUUUCCCCUGUGCAGACUGAACAGGUUUAUCUGGGACAAUGCUCACCCUCAUGCAUUAAGUCCUGUUUUCCCCUGUGCAGACUGAACAGGUUUAUCUGGGACAAUGCUCACCCUCAUGCAUUAAGUCCUGUUUUCCCCUGUGCAGACUGAACAGGUUUAUCUGGGACAAUGCUCACCCUCAUGCAUUAAGUCCUGUUUUCCCCUGUGCAGACUGAACAGGUUUAUCUGGGACAAUGCUCACCCUCAUGCAUUACGUCCUGUUUUCCC